CUGCAUGUGGUGCCCCUGCACCUACUGCACCU
rnacentral:ribozyme from 1 species